rnacentral:rRNA from 1 species
AUUGAACGCUGGCGGCAUGCCUUACACAUGCAAGUCGAACGGCAGCACGGGAGCUUGCUCCUGGUGGCGAGUGGCGAACGGGGGAGUAAUGCAUCGGAACGUACCCGGAAGUGGGGGAUAACGUAGCGAAAGUUACGCCAAUACCGCAUAUUCUGUGAGCAGGAAAGAGGGGGAUCGCAAGACCUCCCGCUUUCGGAGCUGCCGAUGUCGGAUUAGCUAGUUGGUGGGGUAAAUGCCUACCAAGGCGACGAUCUGUAGCGGGUCUGAGAGGAUGAUCCGCCACACUGGAACUGAGACACGGUCCAGACUAAUACGGGAGGCAGAAGUGGGGAAUUUUGGACAAUGGGCGAAAGCCAGAUCCAGCCAUGCCGCGUGAGUGAAGAAGGCCUUCGGGUUGUAAAGCUCUUUCGGCUGAAAAGAAAUCGCACAGGCUAAUACCCUGUGUGGAUGACGGUAUCAGCAUAAGAAGCACCGGCUAACUACGUGCCAGCAGCCGCGGUAA